UACGAAGGGGGCUAGCGUUGCUCGGAAUUACUGGGCGUAAAGGGAGCGUAGGCGGACAUUUAAGUCAGAGGUGAAAUCCCGGAGCUUAACUUCGGAACUGCCUUUGAUACUGGAUGUCUUGAGUGUGAGAGAGGUAUGUGGAACUCCGAGUGUAGAGGUGAAAUUCGUAGAUAUCGGAAGAACACCAGUGGCGAAGGCGACAUACUGGCUCAUUACUGACGCUGAGGCUCGAAAGCGUGGGGAGCAAACAGG
rnacentral:rRNA from 1 species